rnacentral:lncRNA from 1 species
AUUCGGACUGCACAGUGGUGUGCAUUGCCGUGGAAAAUGAGCAGUUUUAAGAGAAGAGGACUCUCACCAAAGCUCUCUUCUUGACCGGGAACCCCGGGGCCACGGGAUGUGGAGUCCUUUUGUACAGCAGAUGCAGGGGGGUGUGGGAGGGAAGCUGAUGCUGCUCCCAGCCCCAUCCUGCGCUGGGUUGCUUCCAGACCCACUGCCCGCCUUACCCCUGCUUUGCUUAGAUCAUGGGUGGUACAGAGGAAGGGACAUGACACAGAAAAGGACUGUCGGAUGACCACACAACUUCCGUUGCCAGCUCGUCUGUUAUGUGGCUCCCAGGUGAGGGACAGAAGGGGAUGGAAGACAGAGGAAGGAGAAAGCAAGACUGUGUCUCCUCUCAUAUCUGGCAAUGUGUCUGGAAGACAUACAUGUCUUCUUCAUUGUCCUGACCCUAUGGCCAUCUUCUCCUCAUAGUCUAAACUACUGCCACAUGCUGUCCCCUUCCUGUGGCACCCACUUUACAAGUGAAGUCAAGAUGUUCAUGGAAGACGCCCUCUGCCUCGGGGCUUUGGUCCCUGGUGCAUGAACAGUCUGUGAUCCGAGGCAGCUAAGAGCUGAGACUCCCAGAAGCACCUGUAUCUCCGAAGGGCUAGCUCUCUCACUCCUCGGGAUACGCUGACCCAAGCCAUGCUCCCCAGUGGCUCUUGGGUACCCGUCCAGACCAUGGCUGAGCUUGGCAAUGCACCUUCACAUGGGCUUCCUGGCCACACCUGGAUCACUGUCCUCCAUUUGUGUCCCUGGCUUCACUUCUCUUUGAGCUGCUAUGCCCCAACCCUUGUCUCUUGGUCUCCUGGAAAGCCUGGAUCAAGACACCCAUGUAAGCUGCUCUCUGCAUUAACUGCAGUGUGGGCUGUGGAGGCUGGCCCCUCUUCCCUCAGACGGAAGACUCUUGGUGCUGCUCCCCUUCUGCAACACCUCUGUAAGGGCUGACAUAACACCUACCUUUGUACCCUCACCAACGUGUGCUGAUUUGCUUCAGCCAAACUUCCUGGCCAGAGGCAGAGAGAAGGUCAUUCAUUGCCUUUGUACCUCAUGAUCCUCUGUUCUCUGUCCAUGGGCAAUGGUGAUCUGAGCUGAGGAUCCCAGAAAAGAAAGGCAUUUCUAAGUUAAAGUGUCUACAAGGCUCAUUGAUUAGAACUCUGUGAUUGUGGGGAGUUGGAAUGUUACAGAUCCAGAGCCAAAUUAUCUUGGGAUAUUCUUAUUCCCAUUGCUAGCCGUUCGUUACCUCUGUGUCUGACUCGUGACUAUGACAGGAAAUAUUUUGGGAUAUAUUAACUUAACAUCUCACUAUCUUCCAUGAGCCCUAGAGCCAAGGAUGUCAUUAGAUAGUAUCUGAAACAUAGAUCAGAGAUUUCCCUGUUCUGCUGAAACCACCAACCUAGUGCGUCCUUCUACCAAUGUAUUUGGAACAAGCCUUAACUUAUGUCUCUUUUAUCCUGUAACAGCUAUAAAAACUUCACAAAACUAUUUCCCCAUUGGAGCCUGGCAUUUGUGGUACCCUGAAUCUAUGUUCUUGGGCUACAGUCACUCAUAUCUGGCUCCAUAAUAAACUUUCUUAUUCCCUCUGU